GACAGCCCACUUCAAGAAUACAAGAGUGACCGGUUCACAAUGGGCCUGGAGUAUAUGGGCUCCCCAGCCAGAGAAGAAUCCCUUGUAUGAUGAGACGGGGUGAGGGAGAGAGGCUAAUGAUCAAACUAUGUACUCUCUAGCGUGAUCAAACUAUGUAAAACAAUCUUCUUCCCAUCCAAGACAAGCCGACCUCGGUAAUCCAACCUAUCUUCUCUCCUCCAAUCGGCGUCGGACAACGAGGAUGCUGACAUGAAGGCUCGUACGUGCUCUAGUUGUACACACUCUUCAUCGGGGAAUCUUGUUGAUUCUUAACUGAACCCGUGCUUGUUCUGAACUUGGUCGUAAAGGAUGCAUCCUCUUGAUUCUUAAUGAGCCAGAUUUGCUAAUAAGCUUUGCUUUGAUGGACGGUUUGUGUCUUCGAGGAGGGAAAAUGACUAAUUUGUUAUUUAUCAUUUUCCU
rnacentral:lncRNA from 7 species